ACCUGGCUGGCUCAGUUGGUAGAGCAUGGGACUCUUAAUCUUGGGAUUGUGGGUUCAAGCCCCACUUUAGGUG
rnacentral:tRNA from 1 species